AGUCAGCCUGUUCUUUGAAGCUUUGAAGGCAGGCAUUGACUUCUCUCUAGCUAUGAAAGUGUUAGAUGGCAU
rnacentral:miRNA from 1 species